rnacentral:rRNA from 1 species
GACGAACGCUGGCGGCGUGCUUAACACAUGCAAGUCGAACGGAAAGGCCCUGCUUUUGUGGGGUGCUCGAGUGGCGAACGGGUGAGUAACACGUGAGUAACCUGCCCUUGACUUUGGGAUAACUUCAGGAAACUGGGGCUAAUACCGGAUAGGAGCUCCUGCUGCAUGGUGGGGGUUGGAAAGUUUCGGCGGUUGGGGAUGGACUCGCGGCUUAUCAGCUUGUUGGUGGGGUAGUGGCUUACCAAGGCUUUGACGGGUAGCCGGCCUGAGAGGGUGAACGGGCACCAUGGGACUGAGGUACGGCCCAGAAUGCUACGGGAGGCAGCAGGGGGGAAUAUUGCACAAUGGGGCGAAGCCUGAGGCAGCGACCCCCGGUGCGGGAAGACGGGCUUCGGGGUGUGAACCGCUUUGUCCUUGGACGAAGCCUGAGUGACGGUAAUGGGUAAAGAAGCACCGGCUAACUACGUG